rnacentral:misc_RNA from 1 species
ACGAAUGGCCUUUGGCCUUCGACCUUGUAAACCCGUGGAAGCAAGACUGCUUGGGCGCUUCCGGCGCCCCGUCUAUGCCGUAAAGCUUUAGUCUGAACAAAAAAUAAGUUUA